CAUGAUAGUGUGAGGAACGUCUUUGGAGGAAUUCUUCCAGUUCACAAGGUAUCACGUCCGCAUUCCAUUAUCUCACUUAUGGGUUAGUUCUUUGCAGUAAACAAUAUUCAGAAAUAAAUUUUCAAACAUUUAACAUUGUGCAUUAACUUCACUCUGGCUGGUCCUGUCUAUCUUAUUGUGUCAGAUAGGCUUUAGAGAUCUUAGAGGAAUUAAAGAAAUAAAUAACGUGAUUUAGCGGGGUCGUACAAGUUGUGGUGGGCUUGGUAAGUGUAAGUUCUAGUCUUGGUGCUGUG